UGGGAUGUAGCUUAGUGGUAGAGCACUUGCUUAGCAUACAUGAGGCCCUGGGUCCCAUCUCUAGCAUCAUAA
rnacentral:tRNA from 1 species